CCUCCCUGGGCAGCCCAUUCCAGUGCCUCACCACUCUUUCAGAAAAGAAGAAAACUUUUCAUAAGCUUUGAAAAAUAGCAUGGUUCUGGUUUCAGGCACGUUUUAUUGCAUUAAUCAACUCUUUUCACAAGAUGAUGUAGGUUCUCUUUACUAAUGAAGCAGUGAAUAGGGUAGAUGAGCAUUUCACUCGGCGAACAAAUAUGAACAGUUUGAGUUCAUCUGCUUUUGUGCACUCCCAAAGAAAAAAUUACUACUGUGCUACUUUUAAUUUCAGUGGCAAAGUUCCUUAGGGUGCUGGGGGGAAGGUGUGGAAAUCAGCAGUCAUUAUCAGCUGCAGGUGUAAGCGCUCCUUGUAUGGCCCUUCAGGAACUAAGCUGCUGUUAGCAGUUUGAGGGAGCUGGUAGUUCACUAGCUAAUGUAAAUAUGUACAGCUUCUGAUGCCCCUGGAGGAAGUGAGCUCCUUCCAGCUGCAAAUCAAGAUGUGUAGCUGUUUCCCAAAAAAUGGAGCCAACUAGUAACUUCUGCAGUGGACAGAAGGGGUGAAGCCUUGCUCGCUGCCUGCCCUGUCAAAUCUGGAGAGAUCCAGUACUGGGGAAAAGGGUCUCCCAGUAAGAUUUAUUUUAAUGAUGUAAGAUAGGGUGGGUCAUGCUCUUGGCUACAACUGUUAUGUGGCUGCCAACUAAACUUGUUUGCAGUUGCCUUUUAUUCUGUUUUGUUUUGCUUUUAACUUUGCCAAGGGCUACCACUCUUCAGUUCAGCUGACAAAGCUAUAAGUGUAGCUGCUCCAGCCUAUUGUGUCAAAAUUGUCUUGGCUAGCUUAAAAGUUUGUAGCAGGACUUCUUAAGAAAUGGUACCUAUAGCUAGUUUGUUCAGCCGAGUCUUACCAUUAUCAGGAUUAAUGUAUUGUCUUUCAUAUGCAAAACUGUGAUAGUGAGUGAUAUUUUAAUGCAUAUUCUUAAGUCUGAAUUGUGUCCUUCUCCAGAGACCAAGCAUGCGCUAAUUUAUCUUUGCUCUGCUUGUGCAAAUCAAAAUUGAUUUUAAAUAUGGAUAAAAAUAUAUUACUGCUGAACUAGUUUGUAAAAAAAAACACAAUUCUUUAGCUAUGUGUGUUGAUUACUUCACACCUUUAAGUGGAGUGAGUAGUGGCACCCUGUUAUUAUCAGAGCCCCUAUCUGUAGUUUUGUGCAAAAGAUGCUGCUUGUUUACCACAUGGUACACUAGAAAAAGAUUUUCUUACAUUAAAGGAUUUUUCUUAACUCAGUCCUUGAAACUUUUCAGAAUUAUCACCCCGAUGAGUUCAAAAUAGGCUCUUUCAUUGUGUAUCAUGGCUCUGGAGUUCAACUGUUAACAAGUCAUUACCCUAUCCUGCUCAGUGGAGUUUGGUGCUAUUUGAUAAUUUCAGUGUUUUGAUUCCUCUGGUUUUUUGUGUGUGUCCUUAAAGUAAACCAAAAAAUCCUUUUAGUAGGCUUAGUGAUGAGUGAUUGCUUAACAAUAUAUGUACUGGCAAGGUUCUGCUGUAAUCCAGCACUCAGUUGUCUUAUUUAUGUAACAUUUUUUUACUUUCAAGAAGUGUUACAGCUGAUGGAGAUUAUAAAAACAUUGGAUUCAAAUGGUGUGCCAAGAGUGAAGGCUGUCCUCUGCACAGGUCUGAACUCAGAAGGGUUAUACAAACAGUAACUGGUGGGAAUAAGAUUUACAUCCACAUGCAGUAUUAAAUCUGAUCUUUACAUCUGGAAGCAUUUACAGUAUCAGACCCUAUCUGGCAUUGCAACUCAACCACGGAACACAAUGGGAAACAAAGAAAACAGCACUAGCGACUCAGAAAACUUUCUUUUCUUUUUCUUUUCUUUUCUUUUUUUAUCGUUACUAUUUUUGUGGGUGGGUGGUUGUUUUUUUAGCAAAUUAGUUCUAAAAUUCAUUCAUACAAAUUAAUAUUGAUGGCUUGCAGAAAAUUUGAGAUAAUACUCGUUUCAGCUGCUCUGUUGUUUUUAGAGCCAGUUUGGCUCUAAAGUGCCAAUCCAGUGAUUAUUGACUGAGUCCAUAAACACCUAACAAUCAGAGUUUUAAAACAUCCCAUCUUCCAUGCACCUCAGAAGUGCUGGUAUAGUUCUCUCUCAUUUUGAAACCUAAGCUUUUAGACUACACAGUGCAGCACUAUUGUUUUAGAAUUCUGACUUGCACAAUUUCAGAGAAAAAUGUCUUCAAGACCAAUAGUGCCCCAAACUUCUAUUUUGAUCCGGUAUCCUGAGAUGUGAAUUAUGCUCCUGUCUGUCUUUCAUGUUCCUAAUAGGAACCUCGAAAUUGAUUGUCAGGUUUUAGCCAAAUUUGACAGAAGUGGCUGUUUUGAUACUACUGCUUGACUUAAGUCUACCUGAUAAGAUGCCUUGCACAGCCCUGAUGUGUCAGACAUGCAAAGUGCCAUGUAUUGUGGCUAUAACAUAGGCUGCUGCUUGCCCAGGAAGUACGCAAGACAAAAAUAAUUUUUGACUAUGUGGAGCAUAGGAAUUAUCAAAAGGACUUGAGGUAUGUUGUGAUGAAGAGGAGCAUGGCCCACUGCUGAUGAACUGAAAUUCUUAGAUGACCAUUUGCUUAAGUUGGGAAACCUUUUAUUAUAAUUCUGGAAAAAGGAAUUCUCUGAAUUAGAGAAGAGAGCUUGCGUUGUUAUCCUCGCCAUGUGUGAGCUCAGCCUUUAUUAGACGCUAAAAAAAUCUUUUGCUGUUGUACUGCCCCUCUUGGAGAUUCUUACAUGUCAGAAAAAGGCAGUGUUCGUGCUACAGCCUUCUAAUGCGCUUCCAAGUGCAGACUAAUGCAACCUUCUAAGUCUGCCUAAGUGGACGCUGAUAGAAAUGGAGCCUCUUUGCUCAGUUUCUAAUGGAACUUUUUCAUGUGGUUCUCCUUUACGGAUCUGUAAGCCAAUAAAUUGCAGAGUUAAAUUUUCAAAAUGUAUAUUUCAAAAAUAAAAACUCUCCUAGCUAAAAUAUACUUGUGCCAAUUUCCAUUUCAGAUCAUACAUUUAUGAUUAAGACAUUACAGUCUGUCUUACUAAGGGAACAGAAAACUUCACUGGAAAUUCUUAAAUUCAUACCACCUGACGUACAGAUUUUAUAAAGAUAUUCUUGAGUAAUAGCAAAUUAAAAAUGUUCAUGAAAAUAUACUUGUAAUAUUAAGUAUUUUUUUUAUAUAUUUCAGCAUGUAUUCUGAUUUUAUAAAUCUUUAUUUUAGAAAACCUAUCUAUCAAUAGCAACCAAUAAAA